rnacentral:rRNA from 1 species
AUUGAACGCUGGCGGCAUGCCUUACACAUGCAAGUCGAACGGUAACAGGUCUUCGGAUGCUGACGAGUGGCGAACGGGUGAGUAAUACAUCGGAACGUGCCUAGUAGUGGGGGAUAACUACUCGAAAGAGUGGCUAAUACCGCAUGAGAUCUACGGAUGAAAGCAGGGGAUCGCAAGACCUUGUGCUACUAGAGCGGCCGAUGGCGGAUUAGGUAGUUGGUGGGAUAAAAGCUUACCAAGCCGACGAUCUGUAGCUGGUCUGAGAGGACGAUCAGCCAAACUGGGACUGAGAAACGGCCCAGACUCCUACGGGAGGCAGCAGUGGGGAAUUUUGGACAAUGGGCGCAAGCCUGAUCCAGCAAUGCCGCGUGCAGGAUGAAGGCCUUCGGGUUGUAAACUGCUUUUGUACGGAACGAAAAGCCCUGGGUUAAUACCCUGGGGUCAUGACGGUACCGUAAGAAUAAGCACCGGCUACUACGUGCCAGCCGCCGCAGUAAAAC